UAAAAACAUUUCUGAAUAAUGAAAAAUUGUCUCUAACUUAAAAUCUCAAAUUUAGAGACUUGAGACUGCAUCACAGAAUCGCAAUGAGAUUGACCCGUCAGCAUACUAGGCUACAACUUGCAACAAAAUAGAUCGGAUCCCGCUAUUAGUCAUUUGGAAAUAUAGAGGCAAGGAAUGUGAGAAUACGUCAAUAAAUUUCCCUCGGUACACUCGUAGAAGGACAAGACAGCAACGUCAACGUCAAGCUGCUAAUAUCACAAGAAACACGAUGUUGUACCAUAAGAUCUGCUGACCUGCACCGUGAUCUAGGCGUGAAUUCAGUGGUAAAUGAAAUCUCCAAAAUAGCAAAGUCUCACGAACUGAGGCUUAGAUAGCAUGUUAAUAAGGAAGCCUCCAGACUCAUCGAAACUGCUGGGCGAGAAAUCCGGUUUAAAUGCAAGAAGCCUUCCGACAUUGUAAGACAACAGUAGCAGCAAAUGUAUUUCUUACCAUUUAGCUUUUAGCCUUACACCGGCAUUUCGAAUGUCCUCAACUUGGAUUAUAUUAUAUAUGGCCGAAAGUCAUUUAUUUUCGCGGAAUUUUAUGUUGAGCAUGCACUAGCUGAGCUUGCGGUCAAAAAGCGUGGAUUUAAAAGUGGUGAUUUUGACUUAAUAGACUAAAAACGUAUUGGGAGGCCUUACUGGAUAAAGAUUGCUACAUACACAAGAAAUUCUCACAGAAGCUUUGGGAGUCACUCAAGCAACCAUAUCAAAACGUGUAAAUGCUGUUUGAAAGCAAUAGAAAUAACUCAGUUUUUGCGUGAUGAAGAAUAGUAUCCAUUACGGCGACUAUGAACGCAAAAAUCAUAGGUGAAACUUGCUUGAUCAAUCAAAAUCGACCAAAGCCGAAUUUUUAUAAUAUAU
rnacentral:lncRNA from 1 species